GUCUUUUUGAUUUAAAUAUAAAGUAUAACCUGCCCAUUGAAAUUUUAAAAGGCUGCGGUAUAUUGACCGUACAAAGGUAGCAUAAUCAUUAGUUUUUUAAUUGGAAACUCGUAUGAAUGGUUGAAUGAGGAAUAAACUUUUUUAAUAGAAAAAUUGAAUUUUACAUUUUAAUUAAAAGGUUAAAAUAUAUUUAAAAGACGAGAAGACCCUAUAGAGUUUUAUAAUUUAUAUUUAAUGUUAAAAAAAAUUAAUAAAUAUUUUUAUUUAAAUAAUUAUUUUGUUGGGGUGAUGAUAAAAUUUAAUUAACUUUUAUUUUUUUUUACAUUAAUAAAUGAAUAAUUGAUCCACUAAUAGUGAUUAAAAAAUUAAAUUACCUUAGGGAUAACAGCGUAAUUUUUUUUUUAAGUUCAUAUUAAUAAAAAAUUUUGCGACCUCGAUGUUGGAUUAAGAUUUAAUUUUAGGUGCAGAAGUUUAAAAUUUAAGUCUGUUCGACUUUUAAAUUCUU
rnacentral:rRNA from 1 species